AUGAAGACAUUUGUUCCUACUUUAUUCAUAUUUCUGUGGUUGAAGUUGGAUGGGGUGAUCCAUGGUGAGCAGGUGGAGCAGCAUCCUUCCACCCUGAGAGUCCAGGAGGGAGCCAGCGCUGUCAUCAACUGCACUUAUGGAGACAGUGUCUUGUCCUACUUCCCUUGGUAUAAGCAAGGACCUGGAGAGCAUCCUCAGCUCAUUAUUGGCAUUCGUUCAACUGUGGAAAGAAAGCAGGAGCAAAGACUGAUAGUUUUACAGGAUAAGAAAGCCAAACACUUCUCCCUGCACAUCACAGACACCCGGCCUGGAGACUCUGCCAUGUACUUCUGA